rnacentral:rRNA from 1 species
UACGUAGGGUGCAAGCGUUGUCCGGAAUUAUUGGGCGUAAAGAGCUCGUAGGCGGUCUGUCGCGUCGGCUGUGAAACCUUGGGGCUCAACCCCAAGCCUGCAGUCGAUACGGGCAGGCUUGAGUUCGGUAGGGGAGACUGGAAUUCCUGGUGUAGCGGUGAAAUGCGCAGAUAUCAGGAGGAACACCGGUGGCGAAGGCGGGUCUCUGGGCCGAUACUGACGCUGAGGAGCGAAAGCGUGGGGAGCGAACAGG